AGCAUACCAUAUUCCGCCUACUUCAAAGCUGCCUUUCCAGUACAGUGCAAUGCUUGCCAAGGAGCCAGAUGCUGUGGCUGGUGGAAAUGCUGUCACAGCUUAAAUUGUGGACCUGGUCUUUUCCUCUCUUUCCAAGGAAGGAGGAAGAACAGGAUUGUGGUGAAGCACAUGGAACAACUCUCCACCAGGUCUGAUUUCAGAUUGCAGAUUUCUUAAAUAAAAUCUCUUUCUCCUCUCACAAUGCUGAGCAAGGCCAUAACAAGAAGCACACCAGACCUAGAGAAAAGCAACUUCACCAAUGAAUGUCCAGUCCAGCACAACAAGAAGCCUGAGGGGCAGUCCACGAUAUCGUAUGAUUACUCUGAAGAAGAGCUCAUGGCGAGUAUUGAGCGGGAGUACUGUCGCUGAAACCCAGUGCUGUGAACAAGUUUCUAGGGCAUAUAUGGAGCAAGAGCACUGUUGAAGGGGGAAAGGCAAGUGUUAUAUGAGGGAGAAUAUUACCUCUCAGAGUGCUGGCAGUGUGGUAUGACUUUGAAGCCAGAGAAUAAAUUAUCUCUGGUACGCACUGGGCAAGAUGGCCAUUCAUGAAGAAACUUCACUGACUGCUGAACAAAAGCAAUGCAGUGGAAAAAACCAAGGUCUCAUUAUUUUCAUUUUCCAAACUAAUACUUAAAAGCCUGUUUCUAACUAGUACAUGUGUGUGAAGACUUGCUGCAUUUUAAAGAAUAAGAUGUACCUUUCUGAGAGACUAAUUUUCCAAGAGAUUCAGCAAAUCAUUUGGUUGCAUUUGGCAAGACUUUGUAGAACCUUUACCUACACCAUCAUUGAAGAGUUGUGGGGCAAAUUCACUCCUAAUGCAUUAACGCAUGCAAUUUGCAGUUCUUUGCAUGUGGUCUAAAUUUAACCCAACAUUUCUUCAAUGUUCUCCAACACACACCCUCUCCUCCUUCCCCUCUGCCCCAUCUCCCCCUGACCACACACAUACACACACAAGGAGGAAAUAAAUCAUCCAAAAUGUAAAGGUUCAAACUGCACUCUUUAAGUGGGUGAGGCACUAACAUCAAAUAAUAGGUGUGGGACUUGUUCAGAUUGUGGCCAUCUCCCUGGCUCCUUCUGCUAGCUCCAUUCUUCUGAAUAGGUGCGGGUCUGAAAUAGUCAUGAAUCCUGUUUCUUGAAAGGGCAAGAUUCUUGUCUACCUUCUUACCUACUGCUCACAGACACAGAACCUACAUGGAAAGCAGAAAAUUGUGACACACGCCCGAAUUCAGUACUUCAUCUUUGCUGCUGUUGGGACAGCCACUUUGAGAAGGGAUUUAAUGUUAUGUAGGACCUUAGUUCACAAAUCAUUUCUUCUUCAUUGGAAUUCAUUGCUUCUGGUUUAUAUGUGAUUUUGUUACUAUGCUUAAUCUACAAGGAAAAACACAUUUCUCACUAAAGACUGAAAAGUAAAACAAAAAACCUAAAUAGCCAAAGAUUCACAGGCUUUCAAUUGUUACAGACAAUGAAUCCUUAUAUUUUUAAGAUUUGUGCCUGCAUUUUCGCUGGACUGUAAUAUGAUACAAAUGUUUAAUAUCAAAAGUAGAAAAAUACCUUAUUUCUUUCCUCUGAUGAUAUAUAAAACAUGCCAGAUGAAAUCUCAAGGAGAAUAAGGCAAACUGAUGACAUAAAUGCUAAUGGAAACAGUGGGAUACACCUUAGGAUGUUAAGGUUUGACCUUGCCUUUGUGCUUCCAUAUGCUAUUUGUGAAAUAGAAACAAAUAUAUCCAUGUUUCACAUACCUAUUAAUAAAGGCAAAAAUGUUGAUCUGA